UACGAAGGGGACUAGCGUUGUUCGGAAUCACUGGGCGUAAAGAGCUCGUAGGCGGUUUGUUGCGUCGGCUGUGAAAUCCCGAGGCUCGACCUCGGGUCUGCAGUCGAUACGAGCAAACUAGAGUGUUGCAGGGGAGACUGGAAUUCCUGGUGUAGCGGUGAAAUGCGCAGAUAUCAGGAGGAACACCGGUGGCGAAGGCGGGUCUCUGGGCAGCAACUGACGCUGAGGAGCGAAAGCGUGGGGAGCGAACAGG
rnacentral:rRNA from 1 species